AGUGUAGGCGGUUUAGCAAGUCGGAUGUGAAAUCCCAGGGCCCAACCCUGGAACUGCAUCCGAUACUGUUAGGCUAGAGUCCCGGAGAGGAUGGCGGAAUUCCCGGUGUAGGGGUGAAAUCCGUAGAUAUCGGGAGGAACACCAGUGGCGAAGGCGGCCAUCUGGACGGUGACUGACGCUGAGACUCGAAAGCGUGGGUCGCAAACAGGAUUAGAUACCCUGGUAGUCC
rnacentral:rRNA from 1 species